rnacentral:rRNA from 1 species
UACGAAGGGGGCGAGCGUUGUUCGGAAUCAUUGGGCGUAAAGGGCGCGUAGGCGGCUUUGUAAGUCGAUUGUGAAAUCCCUGGGCUUAACCCGGGAAUUGCAGUCGAAACUGCAAGUCUUGAAUGCUCGAGAGGAUGGUAGAAUUCCUGGUGUAGAGGUGAAAUUCGUAGAUAUCAGGAGGAAUACCGGAGGCGAAGGCGGCCUUCUGGGCCAUUCUUGACGCUGAGACGCGAAAGCGUGGGUAGCAAACAGG